rnacentral:lncRNA from 1 species
UGCACUUAAUGAAAUUACUUGCUAAUACCAAAUAAUUUGACUCUCAUUUAGAUAUGAGAAUAUAUUAAAAAAUUGUAUGUCAUCGCACAAAAUAAUAAUGUUGUAUUACACCAUUACAGUGAGAAGGAGCCAGUAGUAGUUUACAAACUCAAUUGUACACAUUGUCUAUAAAAUAAUUACAUGUCUCACAAACUAGUUCAAACAUAUGUGACUUGUAGUAUCUACAUGCUGAUAAUGGAACAAUAGCUCCUUGUUUUCUCUGCCUCUCUAGUUUAUCCUUGUGGUUGCCGCCUUUAAAAUCCGUUUUUUCUGCAAAGAAAGGCAAAUGAGAUAUAAAUAAAUUCAUUGGAACUUCUACUAGUAAGUUUUACUUUGCUGAACAGACAACCAUAAGAACAGAGAAGAGCAACAUUUACAUACCACAUCGAGGUAAACAUGCACUGCAGAAAUUCAAUCUAGUCUCGUAGAUGUCAUGUAACCAUAUUAAGUAUAGAGACAUACUGUAAAAAGAGAGAUAAAUCUUGAUGUCACCGAUGGAUACGCUAAGGUGAGAAUGCAUAAAGUAUAUUUGUAAGAAAAAAUAAGAACAAUUUUCUAAGAAGUAUAUGUACAAAAAUAAGAGCAGUUUAACAUACAGGGACUGAGUUCUCAUGGUUGUUGACACUAAUAAUAUCUAAGUCUUAAUACUAGCUCUGCAUAAGACGACAUUUUCUCAUAAAAAGACUGAAUUCUCAUCACAUUAAUAAUCUUCAGUCUAAUACAACAUUUACACAAGGGAGCAUCACACCAUUUAGCUGCUCCAGACAUGGUGCAAGGCAUGUGACACAGAUGUUUCAGUGUUUCACAUAAGCGCAUAUGAUUAAAUCUUACCAAACAUGAUAAUAUAUCCAUCCAGGGAGCUCUCUUUACCAGAUAACAUGAGAAAGGUUUCUGCAGAUGAGAAACUACAUGUAUGAUAGUAGAAGGCAUGCUUAUUCCAGAUAAUAUUAGAACAUGGGUGCAAAAUUCUCAUUUUCAUUUAUGGUGGGAAUGAGGUGCUUUGAUAGUUGAUACACGAGCUUUAAUUAUUAACCGCAUGAAAAAGAAAGGUUCGUAAAGAACACUGACCAUCUUGUAUUGUCAGGGUAUUCUCAGAGGUUGUUUAUCAAACACCUGCAUACGUGAGUGUCCAUAAUCUGGGAGAAAACAAGGAAGAAAGCUAUGUGUAAGAUCGAUAUUAAAUUGAACCAGUGGUAUAAUUAGUAAAAAAAUAGUUCAGAAAAAAGACAAAGUAGUGUUGUCCUAUCUUAAUAUAGAUAAUCUGAAGUACGUGGAGUGUCAGAUUCUCCUCCACAAUUAAUUACGCAUGAAGGUAGAGGCUCCAAUUUUUUACUUUGAAUGAAUUGAUAGAACAGCUGAAAAGAAAAAGUAGAUCGACUCACCUAUAGAUGAACUGACCAAGCUAUUGCUAAAGAUCUAGUGACCAGCCCUUGUGCGCUCGAUCGCAGGAUCCCUUAUGGCCUCCAAAAUCACCGUGUUCGUGAGGCUGGGCCGCCGCCUGGAGGACGGGCGUACUGGGCUGGGCCGCCGCCUGGAGGAUGGCGUCCCCGGGGCUGCUGCUGGCGGCCGGCGAGCGCAGGGCGGUGGACCUACGAUGGCGAGUACGGGGUGGGAAGGAGAGGAGCUCGGCAGAGAAGGCGGCGUGGCAUGGUGGCGCUAGGUUUAGAGGUGAGAGAUCGAUCUCUUUUUUCACAGUAGUUAUCUUCCUAGCCCAUAUCGCACGAUGUACGGCCGUGGUGGGUUAUUUUUAGUGGGCGACAGUGGUUGAACAAA